GAGGGAAUAGCUUAGUGGUAGAGGACAUGCUUAACGUGUAUGAGGUCCUGGGUUCAAUACCCAGUACCUCUA
rnacentral:tRNA from 1 species